UACGUAGGGUGCAAGCGUUAAUCGGAAUUACUGGGCGUAAAGCGUGCGCAGGCGGUUGUGCAAGACAGAUGUGAAAUCCCCCGGGCUUAACCUGGGAUUGCAUUUGUGACUGCACGGCUAGAGUGUGUCAGAGGGGGGUAGAAUUCCACGUGUAGCAGUGAAAUGCGUAGAUAUGUGGAGGAAUACCGAUGGCGAAGGCAG
rnacentral:rRNA from 1 species